rnacentral:rRNA from 1 species
AUGAAUACAACCAUGGAAGCACAAGUAUGCAAAAACUACACAGAGCGUUGGGUCAACAAAUAUGUGGAACCAAGGAAGAGCAUAGACCGUGUGGAAGGUUUUGUCAUCGUCGCGGCUGUGUUUAUGAUCGCCCUUGCCAUUCUCUCGCCCAGGAGGCGUCAAUCUCGGAGCAUCAUUAUAAGAUAUGGAGUGGGCGGAGUGUUUAUAUUGUCCUUCCCACUUCUCUCCUACACUGUGGGACUGAUGCAGGCCGGGAAAAUUAAAAACGAGUUGUACCCGGUGUGGGCAAUGUUUCUGGCCAUGCUUUUCGGAGGCACUAGCUCAAUGUCUGUCCAGAAGCUCGAUCAAAACAAGCAACCCAUGAAGCUCUAUUGUGAUUGUCUCUUGUUCACGAUGUGCGCCAGCACGGUAUUAGGUGGUUUUAUUUAUACAUUCGGUAUGAAGCAUAGUUCCAGUCGCCUUGUUCCUUUCAUUGGUUGUUUGUUCGUCGUGGGAUUUCUAUUGGGAAUUAAAAUGGCCGAGCAGUGGGGUGCUGCAUUCUUAGCAAGCAAACCAUCAUCGGACAAUGGCAUCAAGUGGCUGGCCCGCUACAUGAAGGGUGAGCACAAACUCAGCACAUCCUACGACCCUCGUACCAUGCAGGGAUACAAGUACCCGGUUCUAAUCCAUUCUGGGCGGGCAACAAUUGGAGAAAAUGCAAUAACACUGGAUAACAUUUGGUGUGACAACAUCGGUAUCUUGUCAUCUUACUAUAGUGCUCCUAUCCGUCGUCUCAAGGAUCUGUGUCUCUCAUUCGCAUUGUUCCAUCUGGUGGUUCGGCGAUACUUUGGCUACACUUGUCCUGAAUCUGGGCUUGACAAGACUCGUGAUCUUGUUCUUGAUGGGCUAUUGCAAACAGAACAGGACUAUGAAAGAGCAUUUCAAGUGAUUGAAGCAGAGUUGGCUUUCCUCUACGAUUUCUUCUUCACCAAAUAUGCCUCCAUAAUGUAUGGCAACGAGCUAAGGUAUUAUGCUCUUUCACUCACCCUCACAUUGGUCAGUAUAGCGGCUGGUGCAUGGUCUCUUAGUGUUUUGAACCGGCACGGCUCUAUUUUGGACAGUCGUUUUGUAGAAACCAGCACAAAAGAUGUCCUGGUUACCCUAAUAGCGUUGGCUGCACUUUCGGUAUCUCAGUUCCUGCAGAUAUGGUCUUACUGUGUCUCUGACUGGGCAAAACUAUCCUUUGUUUGUAAGUACGUAGCACAUCCAUCAUGGCAAGGGAACACCCGUAUUGAGAAGCUUCUUUUAUGUUAUGGACGACCUCACAAGUGGCUUCGUUAUUGGCGCAACACUAUUGGCCAAUACUCGGUUCUUGAUUCCUUUAGUUCCAGCUACCGGUGUCGGUUGAAGCAUCUCCUUCCAACUGAGAAAGCAGGCAAGCCUGUGGAGUUGCCAAUGCAAGUGAAGAGGGCAGUGGCACGGACUAUCAGAAACUCAACAAACGGCCAUCUUUCACAUGGAACCUCCGCACUAAUGAGACACAGCAUGAUUGAUGAACUAUGCGGUGCAUGCCAGAUCAACAAUGAAUAUACACUGACCGACACCAUACUGGCAUGGCAUGUCGCGACUAGCAUCUGUGAGAUCUCGGAUACAAUCAAACACCCACACGAUGUGCACCCGAAUCAAGUUGUCGCCACUAUCUUGUCCAAGUAUUGUACCUACUUGGUCGCCUUUGCACCAACGUUGCUUCCAGGCAGUGCACCAGAAACAAAGUGUGCUCUCGAUGAGAUGGUAAAAGAAGCAAAAGAAAUGCUACAUGACCUCGUCUCUCCAAGGGAAAAGUAUGAAAAACUUAGUGAACUAGAGUAUGUCGUAGGUGGUGGAAGAAAAUUGUUCACCUAUGGUGCUGUGCUGGGGAAAGCGCUGGAGAGCAUGGACAAUCAUGCGAACCGGUGGGACCUACUGGCAGAUUUCUGGGCCGAGUUGAUGGUGUAUAUUGCCCCAUCUAACAAUGUAGCUGGUCACAUAGAACUUCUUGCGGAAGGAGGCGAGUUUGUGACUCACGUCUGGGCUUUGCUCAUGCAUGCCGGUAUUUUGAGCGUCCCAGUACUACAAUAA